UACGUAGGGGGCGAGCGUUGUCCGGAUUUAUUGGGCGUAAAGAGCGUGUAGGCGGCCAGAUAGGUCAGCUGUGAAAACUCGAGGCUCAACCUCGAGAUGUCGGCUGAAACCAUCUGGCUAGAGUCCGGAAGAGGAGAAUGGAAUUCCCGGUGUAGCGGUGAAAUGCGCAGAUAUCGGGAAGAACACCCGUGGCGAAGGCGGUUCUCUGGGACGGUACUGACGCUGAGACGCGAAAGCGUGGGGAGCAAACAGG
rnacentral:rRNA from 1 species